rnacentral:lncRNA from 1 species
UUAGUACGAGAUUCUUCUUCUAGCUACUUAUAAAUGCGCGGUGACUCCAAUCUUACAUCACCAAACUAUCAUACACAGGCACAACGCUCACCAUUAAAACCAGCUAAGACUACACAAACAAACCAUAUAAACACUGCAAUUUCCUAAGCUAAGCUAAGCUAAGCUAAGCUAAGCUAUACCCAUAUAUGGCUUGGCCUAAACCACUAGUAUUUCUUUUUAUUUCCAUUAUUAUUAUUAUUAUGAGUUUCACAAACUUUGGUAACACUAAAGCAGAGGACACUCCUGUCUAUCUCUGGAAAAACUGUUCAACCAACAGUAGUACAACCACCGCCAACAGCCCCUUUCAACUCAAUCUCAACACUCUCCUCACUUCCCUCUCUUCCAACCCCACCGAAUUCCACAACACCACCGUCACAGGAAAUCCCUCCUCCAACACUGUCUACGGUCUCUUCAUGUGCAGAGGUGACGUGGCACUUCCUCUCUGCCGACAGUGCGUUCUAAACGCAACACAGACACUACUCUCAGAAUGUUCCCUUUCUAAACAGGCAGUGAUAUGGUUCGACGAGUGUACCGUACGCUACUCAAACCGUUCCUUUUUCUCCACCUUUGAUACUAGACCUCGUGUUGGUCUACUCAACACAGCUAACAUAACCAAUCAACAAAGCUUCAUGCGUUUAUUGUUUCGAACUAUGAAUAAAACUGCUGAUGAUGCUUCUAAUCAUCCAAUUGGUUCUAAGAAAUAUGCGACGAAUCAAGCUACUAUAUCUGGUUUUCAGAAUUUGUAUUGUUUGGCUCAGUGUACGCCUGAUUUGUCACCUCAAGAUUGUAGAAAGUGUCUUAAUGGUGUCAUUGGGGACCUUCCUUGGUGUUGUACGGGAAAACAAGGUGGAAGAGUUUUAUAUCCUAGCUGUAAUGUUAGGUAUGAAUUGUACCCUUUUUUUCGAGUAGACAAUGCUUCGUCGCCGUCUCCUUCAUCGUCAAUUCUUCCUCCUCCAACUACUAAUCCGGCUAAUUCCCGAGG